rnacentral:rRNA from 8 species
AAACGACUCUCGGCAACGGAUAUCUCGGCUCACGCAUCGAUGAAGAACGUAGCAAAAUGCGAUACUUGGUGUGAAUUGCAGAAUCCCGUGAACCAUCGAGUUUUUGAACGCAAGUUGCGCCCAAAGCCACUCGGCUGAGGGCACGUCUGCCUGGGCGUCACGCA